GAAAAGAAACCAACCGGGAUUGCCCUAGUAACGGCGAGUGAAGCGGCAGCAGCUCAAAUUUGAAAUCUGGCCCCUGGGGCCCGAGUUGUAAUUUGCAGAAGGUGCUUCGGGAGCGGUCGUGGUCCAGGUCCCCUGGAAUUGGGCGUCACAGAGGGUGAGAAUCCCGUACGCGGCCAACGAUCAAUCCCAUGCGAAGCCCUUUCGACGAGUCGAGUUGUUUGGGAAUGCAGCUCCAAAUGGGUGGUAAACUUCAUCUAAAGCUAAAUAUUUGCUGGAGCCCGAUAGCGAACAAGUAGGGUGACCGAAAGAUGAAAAGAACUUUGAAAAGAGAGUGAAACAGUACGUGAAAUUGUUGAAAGGGAAGCGCUUGCAACCAGACUCGCGCGCGGGGUUCAGCCGCCCCUCGGGGCGGUGUACUCCCCGCUCGCGGGCCAGCAUCAGUUCGGACGGUUGGACAAAGGCCUGGGGAACGUAGCUCUCUCCGGAGAGUGUUAUAGCCCCGGGCGCCAUGCAGCCAGUCCGGACUGAGGAUCGCGCUCCGCUAGGAUGCUGGCGUAAUGGUUGCCAGCGACCCGUCUUGAAACACGGACCAAGGAGUUGACCAAUCGGGCGAGUAUUUGGGCGUUGAAACCCAGAUGCGUAAUGAAAGUGAACGUGGUGGGAGCCUCCGGGCGCACCAUCGACCGAUCUUGAUGUCUUCGGAUGGAUUUGAGUACGAGCCCGAGUGGUCUGACCCGAAAGACAGUGAGCUAUGCGUGGAUAGGGUGAAGCCAGAGGAAACUCUGGUGGAGGCUCGCAGCGGUUCUGACGUGCAAAUCGAUCGUCAAAUCUGCGCAUAGGGGCGAAAGACUAAUCGAACUGUCUAGUAGCUGGUUCCUGCCGAAGUUUCCCU
rnacentral:rRNA from 1 species